rnacentral:tRNA from 1 species
ACCUGGCUGGCUCAGUUGGUGGAGCAUGAGACUCUCGAUCUCAGCGUUGUGAGUUCAAGCCCCACAUUGGGCA